rnacentral:rRNA from 1 species
GUGCCAGCAGCCGCGGUAAUACGUAGGUGGCAAGCGUUGUCCGGAUUUAUUGGGUUUAAAGGGUGCGUAGGCGGUCAAAUAAGUCAGUUGUGAAAUACGGCAGCUCAACUGUCGAGGUGCAAUUGAUACUGUUUGACUUGAGUAUUGUUGAGGUAGGCGGAAUGGACGGUGUAGCGGUGAAAUGCUUAGAGAUCGUCCAGAACACCGAUAGCGAAGGCAGCUUACUAAAGAAUAACUGACGCUGAGGCACGAAAGUGUGGGGAUCAAACAGGAUUAGAUACCCUGGUAGUCC